UACAGAGGGUGCGAGCGUUAAUCGAAAUUACUGGGCGUAAAGGGCGCGUAGGCGGUUUAGUGUGUGGGAUGUGAAAGCCCUGGGCUUAACCUGGGAAGUGCAUACCAAACUACUAAACUGGAGUAGAGGAGAGGGUGGCGGAAUUUCCGGUGUAGCGGUGAAAUGCGUAGAUAUCGGAAGGAACGUCAAUGGCGAAGGCAGCCACCUGGCCUCAUACUGACGCUGAGGCGCGAAAGCGUGGGGAGCGAACAGG
rnacentral:rRNA from 1 species